UGAAGUUUGGAUAGAUCUUAAGUACUCAAUACUCAGAUGAAUCUGUGAUCUGAUUUAUUCAAAAGCUGCUUCCAGGGAUGUUAGAUCACAACCCAUUUGUGUGUCCACAUAAAUUCCUUUUUUUUUUUUAAAUUUCAUUCUUAGGGAUUUGUGAAAAAAGCAAUUUGAAAUCUGAUUCAGACUCUGAGGAAAUUAAGAAGCUGAAAUACAGAUCCCCACUGGUUACAUACAAUCUAAAUAUAAGUGGUGGAGAAUCUGCAGAAGAAACAAAAGAAAGCAACCACAGAAAGAGGAGGAAAGUGAGCAUGGAUGAUUCAGGACUGAAAGUUACUGAAAACAUUACUGAACAUGAAGAUGAUGAACAGUCAAAGACAAGGUAUUUUAAUAAUUUUUAGGUUCCUUUACCCAUAUUUUUUCAGUUAGGUGUUAAGA
rnacentral:lncRNA from 1 species